GACGAGGGACCCUAGCGUUGUUCGGAAUCAUUGGGCGUAAAGCGGGUGUAGGAGGCUUUAUAAGUCAGAUGUGAAAGCCCUGGGCUUAACCCAGGAAGUGCAUUUGAUACUGCAAAGCUUGAGUGUUGGAGAGGUUACUGGAAUACCUGGUGUAGUGGUGAAAUACGUAGAUAUCAGGUGGAAUACCGGUGGCGAAGGCGGCAUCCUGGACCGACAUUGACGCUGAUGAGCGAAAGCUAGGGGAGCAAACGGG
rnacentral:rRNA from 1 species